UAGGGAAUCUUCCGCAAUGGGCGAAAGCCUGACGGAGCAACGCCGCGUGAGUGAUGAAGGUCUUCGGAUCGUAAAACUCUGUUAUUAGGGAAGAACAAAUGUGUAAGUAACUAUGCACGUCUUGACGGUACCUAAUCAGAAAGCCACGGCUAACUACGUGCCAGCAGCCGCGGUAAUACGUAGGUGGCAAGCGUUAUCCGGAAUUAUUGGGCGUAAAGCGCGCGUAGGCGGUUUUUUAAGUCUGAUGUGAAAGCCCACGGCUCAACCGUGGAGGGGCAUUGGAAACUGGAAAACUUGAGUGCAGAAGAGGAAAGUGGAAUUCCAGGUGAAGCGGUGAAAUGCGCAGAGAUAUGGAGGAACACCAGUGGCGAAGGCGACUUUCUGGUCUGUAACUGACGCUGAUGUGCGAAAGCGUGGGGAUCAAACAGG
rnacentral:rRNA from 1 species